UCCUAACAAGGGAAUGAAGUUCUCCCGCGGCAUCACCGGAAACGCUAUCGAGCUGAUGACUUCUGCAGUGGC
rnacentral:ncRNA from 1 species